rnacentral:rRNA from 1 species
GAUGAACGCUGGCGGCGUGCUUAACACAUGCAAGUCGAACGGGAUCCAUCAGGCUUUGCUUGGUGGUGAGAGUGGCGAACGGGUGAGUAAUGCGUGACCGACCUGCCCCAUACACCGGAAUAGCUCCUGGAAACGGGUGGUAAUGCCGGAUGCUCCGACUCCUCGCAUGGGGUGUCGGGAAAGAUUUCAUCGGUAUGAGAUGGGGUCGCGUCCUAUCAGGUAGUCGGCGGGGUAACGGCCCACCGAGCCUACGACGGGUAGCCGGCCUGAGAGGGCGACCGGCCACAUUGGGACUGAGAUACGGCCCAGACUCCUACGGGAGGCAGCAGUGGGGAAUAUUGCACAAUGGGCGCAAGCCUGAUGCAGCGACGCCGCGUGCGGGAUGACGGCCUUCGGGUUGUAAACCGCUUUUGAUCGGGAGCAAGCCUUCGGGUGAGUGU